rnacentral:rRNA from 1 species
AGAGUUUGAUCAUGGCUCAGGACGAACGCUGGCGGCGUGCUUAACACAUGCAAGUCGAACGGAAAGGCCCUUCGGGGUACUCGAGUGGCGAACGGGUGAGUAACACGUGAGCAACCUGUCCUCCAGUCUGGGAUAAGCCAGGGAAACUUGGUCUAAUACCGGAUACCUUCACAAACUCCUAUGUGAUUGUGAAGAAAGAUUUAUCGCUGGAUGAGGGGCUCGCGGCCUAUCAGCUUGUUGGUGGGGUAACGGCCUACCAAGGCAUCGACGGGUAGCUGGUCUGAGAGGAUGAUCAGCCACACUGGAACUGAGACACGGUCCAGACUCCUACGGGAGGCAGCAGUGGGGAAUCUUGCGCAAUGGGCGAAAGCCUGACGCAGCAACGCCGCGUGAGGGAUGAAGGCUUUCGGGUUGUAAACCUCUUUCAGCAGGAACGAAAUUGACGGUACCUGCAGAAGAAGCACCGGCCAACUACGUGCCAGCAGCCGCGGUAAUACGUAGGGUGCAAGCGUUGUCCGGAUUUAUUGGGCGUAAAGAGCUCGUAGGCGGUUAAGAAAGUCAGGUGUGAAACCUCCAGGCUCAACCUGGAGACGCCACUUGAUACUUCUUUGACUUGAGUUCGGUAGGGGUAAGCGGAAUUCCUGGUGUAGCGGUGAAAUGCACAGAUAUCGGAGGAACACCGAUGGCGAAGGCAGCUUACUGGGCCGAAACUGACGCUGAGGAGCGAAAGCGUGGGGAGCGAACAGGAUUAGAUACCCUAGUAGUCC